GCACACUCUUUGCUACUCCUUCUAUUCUGUGUGUGGUUUUGAAAACUUACACUAGUAAAAAUGCUGUAUCUGAAUGUAACUUCUUGCAGCACACCUUUCCAGACAGGGAAAAAAAAUGCCAAGAAAUUAACCAGGAGAUUUUGACAUGUGUCUUCUGAACAGCAAGCUAAUUCUCAGCUUCCACACUUUGUGCUAUUUGAAUUGCGCUUUGCAGUCACAUGCUUCAAGCUAAUUGCUCCCAUGCAAAGCCUGUAGGAAGCAGAAAAGCAAAGUUCCUGUGGCAUAGUGACUGUUCUGGAGAAUGCUGUCAGUGAAUUUUCCAUUGCUGGGCACAUAUAAUGAAUGAGAAAAAGUGCAGAGAGCUUUGAGGAAUGGAUGAGCAGUUCCUUCCCUGCACUCCAGAACAUGAUGACUUGCAGCAAAUAUUUUUCGUCUGCAAUGGUAAUAAAUGUCUUUGAAGGAUCGAGGGAAGAGCUACUGAUAAAAUUUAUGUGAGACGACUACUGUACCUUCUGAUGUUCCUUGGUGAAAGGGAUUUUCAUAGAUAUUUCCCACUCCUCUCACAUACCUGAACCUCUAGUUGGGGAUGGGGGAACAAAAUCCCAGGUUAAAGGAAAUCUAGAAGGAUCAACCCUUUCUUAUCCCCAAAGACAGUGCACAUCAUUUUACCUGCUGAGGGCUUGAGCUUUUUAUUCAAUGAGACAUUCACUUAGCUUCUCCAUGGACUGCUGUUUUGUCUCUGGCUCAUAGUGGUGACACUGCAUCUCGUCACCUGCAGCCUUGUAUAGGUUCAGUUGGUUCGAAAAACUUGCAUAUGGUGUUCUUUCUGCGCCUGUGUGAGCAUUUGUGAGACUCACUUUGCAAAAACUUUGUGAUAUUUCAACAUUGCUGUCAUCCUUUGCAAGGCAUUGAAGCCAAUAAUCAGCUCCAUACACAGUUCUGUGGUCACAGUCCUCUGAUUUACAUGGAUGAACUGAUAGAGAUACUCUUCACUUCAUAGCAUGACAGCUGAGCGUUGGCUGCCUAGAACAUGGCUUGCCUUUCACAUUUUGACAUUAUGGGCAAACAUGAUAAAAUAGAAGGCAUUGCUUUUGGAGCAGCCCACGUAGUUUAAAGUGUGAACCCAAGUCUGUGAUUGAACCUCAAUGUUUUCAGGCAGUGGGUUUGGUCUAAAUUCUGCACUGAAGCUUGCUCUUAAUAGAGGUCUCUGCAAAUCCCAAACUGCAGGUGGCCAUGAUUGCCUCCCCAAAUCUUCUGUCAAACAUCCUAUGAUAUUCUAAGUGAAGAUGUGGUAGAUUGACUAGGCUCCUUUCUAGCAGAGUCUGAAAUAUCACAAACUGUGUGCAGCUGGAGAACAGAUGUUGUCUUGCUGGAAAACUGGUUGCAGAAAUCAUGGUUUGGCUUAUUUUUGGAACUCUGUUCAACAUAGCCUUUGAGUAUUUUCUGGCUUCUCUUUACUUUUAUCAGUGAAUACUAUAGUUUUACAUCACACAUUGGGUUAACUUUUGCAGUCAGUUGCAAUUGCAACAGGUUCUAAUCAAUGGUGCUGAAAGUGUCAUAGUCUUAAAAAGCAAAUCUGACUCCAGAUAUUUCAAACCUGCCAUUUGCUGCAAAACAGAACUAGUCAUGUGGGAGAUGCCUUGGGUGCAUAAAGUUCAAGAUCAAAAUGAUAAUGUACCAGUGAAAUUUAACAAGCUGUGGCAAUUGUUCAUAAAACAAGACCAGGUCCAUGAAGCUUCCUAUUGCCUUUGUAUUACACAUAAAUAUAUCCUCUCCUACAUGCACGUAUCUAUCAUAUGAAUAUCCUUUACAUGUCCUUCAUAUUUGUUUUAUAUAUUAAGAAUAUGCAUGUAUCUUUACAAAAUUGUUAACCCUUAAAAUAACUUUAGUAUCUCCAUAGGUAUGAAUUAGAUUGCUUAUUUUGGUUUCUUCUACUUAAUCUGGGAGUGCAUUCUUUAAUAAUAGCUCACUCUUAAUGAGUGCAGUCAUCCCAAACUCAUGCCAGAAAAAACACUGUACUGCAGUGUUCUCUCAUGUAUUACAUUCAUUAUCUGACUGAAGGGCUGCACUCCUCCAUACAGUUACACUGAGGUCGAACAUAAAAAUGUGUAAAUGUGUGUACUUGUAAUAGGAAUAUGCUUUGAGGGUUAGAUCUGUUUAAACGAAGGCAGAAAUUAUCUCAUAUAUUUUUGCCAAAUCUUGAUCUCUACUUUAAAAAGACCAAUAUUUGCAAAGCAUAUCCAUGGCAGCUAUAAUAAUAAACUGUAUCUUAAAGCAGUGAGACAGUCUUCAAGAUCCGCCCUGAAUUUGGAUAAAAGGAUAAGCAGCCGGAGACAACAGUGUGUAACAAUUGUUAACUAUAAGACAAACAAAUUAAAACUAUACAGUAAAUGAAGUCAUAAUAUUUCAAAUUAACUGCAAAUGUUCAGCACAGUUUUAAAAUAUGGAAAAUAAAUUAGAUAGGCACAAUUUGACUUGUUUUGCUAUCCCAAACAUUUGUAGUUGAUUUUUAUGUGAUGAGGUUUGUGGGGUUUUUUUUUUUUUUAGUUUAAUUGAAUAGGAUCUGUGUUUUCCUAGGGAUGUCCAAUGCCCUGGCAAAGGCUCAAGGAUCAUAGAAUCAUCAAAUCACAGAAUGUCCUGGGUAGAAAAGGACGCAAGACAUGUGGGGCAGAAAGACUGAAGAGCUGGGAGUUGGGCUUGGUGUGUGCACAUGUAUGUAGAAAGACAGGGUGAUGGGAAAUCUGUGCAGUGGUAUGCCUGUUGCAUUGCUUAGAUAAAGAAAAGACAUUUCUCUAAGCCCAGCACCACAAAUCUUUGAGGUCCAAAUACCAAGAAAUCAUCAACAAUGAAGUAAGGGAGCAGUUACUGAUUCCUAAUGGACAUCUUUCUCUCUGCAGCUGAACUUAGUAGCUGUGUACAAGUUGAAGAAAAGGUUUCUUUCCUCCUUGCAAUUGCCCUGAGCGUCUGCAAGGAGGUUUUGAUCAAAUCUUUCAACCACUUCAUAGAAACUGAAUCAUGUCUGAAUGAUACUCCUUUGCAUUUCUGAAACUAAAUAAGGUCUAUUGGGCUAAAUUCUGUCCUAACAGACAUCUAAGUUUUUAGUAAGAUUUCUUAUGUUAUACGUUCAAUAAAAGGAUUCAUUCUACCUUCCAAUGGCUACACCUAUCUUAGUAGCAGGUAGAAUUUCUGUUUAAUGAAACUAGCUUUGCUUUUGAGGUAGGAUGCUCUGUUAGUAUGAAUGGGGGCUGCCAUGCACUGCUUGACCUUGAUACAAUUUUUAAUUCACUUGUUCCAACUGAGCAAUAGAAUCCAAUUAAAAAAAAAAAAAAAGUAAGUAUUUCCUCACAUUAAGGACAAAUUCUCAGCGUGGGCAGAGACUAAACCACUGCUAGUAAAUUGGUGGUAGAAUUCAUCCUGAUAUAAAGAACAAUUUCAUUUUGCCUAUAUUUAGACAUCCUUUCCAUUCAGUAGCCAUUCUCACCAGUAUAUCUAUUAGAAGAAUAUGGAGGCAGUGGACUUCUGUUCUUUCUACUUUAAUGUGGGAUUGCCUGUUGCACUAUUUGUAUGGCAGGAUAGCAGCCCUGUGAUUGUGCCAGGCACCUAUACAUUGUGUAGCUCUAAUUUCAGUUUCCCUUUUAUAAUCUCUCAAAUUAGUGAAUAAAGUAUGGCACUGUAAAGUAGGUACUACUGAUUCUUAUUUUACAUAUGCGCAAGGAAAUAUCAAGAAUUAAUAGCCAGGCUGGGAAUUCAGGAUACGGGUUAUUGAUUGUACCUGAAUGACACUUGGCACAGUGGUGGGCACUGAGGUAUCUGAAAUAAGUUCAGUAAACUGCAUCCCAAGUGGUGCCAGAUAUAUCACUUCCAAAAGCAUUUGUCUGCUAUAUAGAAAUGAUAAAGAAAAUCUAUAUAGUCUACCUAGUGCUCAGCAAAGCCUUCAAUACUGUCUCCCACAGUAUUCUCCUGGAGAAGCUGGCAGCCUGUGGCUUGGACAGGUACACUCUUUGCUGAGUGAAGAACUGGAUGGAUGGCCAGGUGCAGAGGGUGGUGGUGAAUGGAGUUAAAUCCAGCUGGCCACUGGUCAUGAGUGGUGUUCCCCAGGGCUCAGUAUUGGGGCCUGUCCUGUUCAAUAACUUUACUGAUGACCCAAAUGAGGGCAUUGAGAGUAUCCCCAUUAAGUUUGCAGAUGACACCAAGUUGGUCAGAAGUGUCAGUCUGCCUAGGGGAAGGAAGGUCCUGCAGAGCAAUCUGAAUAGUCUGGGUAGCUGGGUUGAGGCCAGUGGGAUGAGGUUCAACAAGACCAAAUGCCAGGUCCUGCUCUUUGGCCACAAUAACCCCAGGCAAUGCUACAGGCUGGGACAGAGUGGCUGAAAGACUGUGUAGAGGAAAUGGACCUGGGCUGUUGGUCGAUGCUUGGCUGAACUCAUGUUCAGUGUGCCUAGGUAGCCAAGAAGGCCAAUGGCAACCUGGCUCGUCCCUCUGUACUCAGCCUUGGUAAGGCUGCAUCUCAAGUAGUGUUCACUUUUGGGCCCCUUACUACAAGAAAGACAUAGAGACCCUGGAGCAUGUCCAGAGAAGGGCAGUGAAGUUGGUGAUUGGUCUGGAGCACAAGUCUUAUGAGGAGUGGCUGAAGGAACUGGGAUUAUUUAGUCUGGAGAAGAGGAGACUCAGGUGUGACCUAAUCGCACUCUACAACUACCUCAUGGGAGGUUGUGGUGAGGUGGGGAUUGGCCUCUUCUCUCAUGUAACUGUAGAUAGGACUAGAGGGAAUGGCCUCAGAUUGCGCUAGGCGAGGUUCAGGUUGGAUGUUAGGAAAUACUUCUUCUGCAAGAGAGUGGUCGGGCACUGGAAUGGUCUGCCCAGGGAGGUGGUGGAGUCACCGUUCCUGGAGGUGUUCAAAAAACAUUUAGAUGUUGUAAUGAGGGACAUGGUUUAGUGUAAAAUAUUGGUGAUAGGUGGAUGGCUGAACUGGAUUAUCUUAGAGGUCUUUUCCAACCUUGCUGAUUCUAUGAUUCUAGGAGGGCACUGACAUCUGUCAGAGGGAAUUUUCGAUGAAGGGGACUGACCACUCACAGCAGGCAGUGAGCAGAGAAGAGGCAGAUGCAGCUCCAUCCCUGUGAGGUGCAUCCACUGGCAGUGUACUGCAAGACUGUGAAGAUGAAGUGAGGCCUAAAAGGUAACCUCUCUGUUGUGAAAACUGAGAGGAAAUAAAAAGAUGCAAGUUGCUAGUGCGUGUCCAAUCUGCCUGUAGUCCUUGGGAGGAUGACAAUUAUGUGAUACCCAGAAGAAGACAGAAUACAUUCAGGGUUUCUGGAUGUCUCCAGUAAUACAGGCUGAUGGAGAAAUGAGUUCCUCCUCCUGCUCUGCUUCUCACAUGCCACCACAAGAAAAGAUUGUCAUUUUCUGUUUGAACUGGACUUAUGUGACUUAGAUUAUAUCUGCCCAAUGUGUUGUGAAUUUGUUGAAGUGUGUUUAAAGACAUGUUGGCAUGUCCAGCUGUUAAAUGAAAAAUGUGUUUUACUGCCGCACUGUAGGGGAGCCUUAGAGAAGUGCAGUCAAUCUCAAUUAAUAUGAAAAGGAUCUAGCCAUGUGUAUACUGAAAAAGGUUUGCUUUCUGCCAUCAAAAUGCUCCCCAGCUGGAUAUUGUUAAUAAAUAAUUGUCUGGAUACACUUACUACCGUACAGUUCAAAAUAUUCACAUUUUAUGGGUAGUCAAACAAAUUAGGAAGCAGAAAAAUUGGAAGAUCUGAGUUACCAUUCCUGGAUAUUUCAAGACAUUUUAUGUAAACUGAUGAUACGAAAGAUGACUACUAUGGUUGUACAUGAAAUACUGAAGUUCUCUAGCUGCUGCCUGCUCUAAAGGGACUUCUCUGUUUAAAUCUACACAGAAUUUUCCUCAGAUUUCCUGGUUUGAGGGUUCAACACCUGAAUCUUUUGUUAUUUCUUUUUCUAAAAGUAUCUCUUGAUAUAAUGUAGUGAACUAUUGAUCCUAUUACUUAGAAACUCAUGUAAAAUCCUAUUAAAUGUUACUGCAGUGCAUUUUAUUUAGAUGAAGGCUGUGUAUCAUAGCACAACAAAUCUGUGUUUCCUUCAACUAUGAAAAAAUCUAACCAGUAAAAGGGAAGUAAUACACUUAAUAUUGAUCCACUUCAUUACAUUUUACACAUACAAACAUACAUUAUAAUUAUUUUCUAGGCCCUUUUUGUUGUGCAAAUUCUUUUCAUCACAGCUAGGAUAUCCAAAGAUGCUUAAAGAACUUGGAUGCUCAAAUUCCAUUUGUUUUUCUCCACUUGCUUCUGCUUACUGCAGAAUUUUUGCAGUGGAGAGAAGUCUGGGAAAUGUUUAACAGAGAGCUCACCUCCAAAAUAUUAUGCUCACUUUUUUUCUUCUCUUAGAUUCCAGGAGUUCAGAGCAUGGAAGGAAUUUGUGCUUAGUUGAUGUUUCCAAGGUUUUUGUCUGAAAGACUUGAGCAAUUCCUCCCUUCUUAGUAUUCCAGGACUUUCUUUUGGUUGAACUAACUUUCUAGCUGGCGAUUUAAGAUCAGUUCUGUGAGUCACCCCGAAUCCACUCUUGAGCCUCAGUAUCUAAGAUGGAAAUUAAAAGUAAAAGCCUGAUUUUAUCAGCUGAAAUCAGAACUCAGAGUGGUUUUAAUUCCAACUCAAAAGUUCAAAUUAAAAUCAGGUCCAGACACAGGCAUUUGAGUUAUAAACACUUCUUCAUCUGUAACCUAACAGAUCUUUUGAGGAGAUGAAAAGGUCUUAUGAAAGACAGGCCUAAGCUUAGCUAAAUGGUCAAGCAAAAUAUUGUAAGAUGGCCCUACAUGUACAGUCUGAGCUAUGGCUUUUGUUCUAACAUAUCAAAAUAGUAUUUACAAUCAGCUGCACAGCCGUAGGCUAGUUAGCUUUCUUGUGCUGCUAAGUAAGCUGGGCUAGGACUCUUCCAGUAAAAACUGAAAGGAUGGUUUAGAAAAUGAAUAAUAGCAAGGAACAGUGAUCCACUCCAGUCCUGUCCACAACAAUCCCACUCUACAUAUAUCCUCUGGUAAUUUAAAAAUAUGUUGUGUGAUUUCUGGUGAAAUAUUCUGUUUGACUGUAGAUAGGCUGUAGAUAUAGGUUUUUCCACAGAGUCAUCUGGCUCACACGGCUUGGUAUGAACAAUAUAGUUAAAUGUAAGAACCUGGAUCAUAGAAUAGUAGAAUAUCCCGUGUUGAAAGAGAUGCAUAUGUCCAACUCCUAAAGUCAAGGCAGAGAGGAAGCCCUGCAAAUGGAGGACUGAGAAAAUGUAGUAACAACAAAAAGCCUCAAGGGAAUGGCAGAUAAUGAUCUGAGGCUUAGUUAUUAAAAAUAAAAUGUAUGAUCACAUUAUGUAUGAUGUAUUGUAAUACGUAUAUAUAAAAUAUAACAUGUAUAUAUGUAUGCAUAAUAUGUAUAUAUAUGUAUAUAUACAACACAAUAUAUAUAUAUAUAAUAUGUAUAUAUAAUGUACGAUCAUAUUAUGAUUACAUAUCUCUGUACGUGGACACAGUAUAUUGUCACUCACUAUCAGUGCCAGGUUAAAGACUAAGGUUCCUUAGAAACUGGACUGUAGCUUAUACAGAACUGUGUUGUGCCCCAUGGAUACACCCUACAGAUGAGGUUCAUUACAGGCAGUAAACUGCUUAAGCUAUUUAAUUGAAAUGUGCUUUUUGCUGUAGUUAGGUAAUGACCUGUUGUUCUGAAUCAGCCACCCACAGGAAAUGAAACAGUUGAGUUAUCCACUUGGAGAUGGAGCCUUGAUGUCGCUAUCACCUUGGAGAUAAUACUGCAGUGGUCAGGGUGCAAGAAUAGGACAUCAUACUUUAGGGUUAAAUAAUUUUUGUGAAAGCACAGUAACUUUAGAAUAGGAGAACAUUCUGGUCAUGGCAUUGCACACCUGAGUUGUAGUAAUGCUUCUACUCACAGAAUGGUUAAAACUGGAAGAGAUUUCUGAAGAUCCUGUGUUUCAUUCCUCCUGCUCAAGCAGAGACAACUUGAGCAGGUUGCCCACGAACAUGUACAGGUGGCUUUUGAUGGUGUUAAAGGAAAAUGACUCCAUAGCUUCCCUGGGUAACCUAUGCCAGUGCUCCGUCACCUGCACAAUAAAGAAGUAGUUCCUGAUGUUUAUAUGGAAUGUCUUAUGUUCCAAUUUUUGCCCAUUGCCUCGUGUCCUGACACUGAAAAGAGCUUCACUCUAUCUUAAUUGCACACCGUCUCAAGAUAUUUUAUAAACAUUGAUAAGUUACCCCCAGAAACUCCUCCAGGCUGAAGAGUCCCAGCUCUCAGACUCUCUUCAUAGGAGGAGUGCUCGAUCAUCUUGGCAGUUAUGCUGAACAUUUUCCAGUACAUCCAGGUCUCUCCUGUACUGGGACCUCAGAACAGAAUUCCACAUGCAACCUCACCAAAGCAGAGGUGAAGGAUCACCUCUCUUGACCUGCUGACAAUACUUUGCCUAAUGCAAACAAGAAUACCACUAGCACUGUUAGUGACAAGGACUACUAUUAACCUCUAGGGUACUCCACUCAUUGUUGGCCUCUAAUAGAUUUUGCACCAGUGACCAUUUCUCUCUGCAUCUGGACAUUCAACUACACGUAGUUAAGCUCAUAUAUAAUCCUCUGUCAGGGAGAGUAAGCAGGGCCUUAUAAUGUUAGUAAGAACACUCAAUCAAAAAUACUUUUUACUCAUAGGUCCAGGGCUUCGAUGUGAAGCAUCUUUGCUUGUGAGUUCCAGGCCAUGAGGGACACCAAGGUAUAGACUCUGCUGAGCUCUGCUGAGGGUAGAACCCUGGCAGGAGCUUCUUGGGCUGCUGCAGACCAAGUCAGAGAAGAAGAGCUCACGUGGGCUAAGACACAACUUUCUUAACUGAUUUAAAUUUUAGACUCCAAUGUUCUAUUUUUUAUUAGCCCACAGAUUAUAUUAGUCCAUGUUAAAGAAAGGUCUUUGAAAC
ensembl:lncRNA